UACGUAGGCAGCGAGCGUUGUUCGGAGUUACUGGGCGUAAAGAGCUCGUAGGCGGUCUGUCGCGUCGAAUGUGAAAACCCGGGGCUCAACUCCGGGCUUGCAUUCGAUACGGGCAGGCUAGAGUUCGGUAGGGGAGUCUGGAAUUCCUGGUGUAGCGGUGAAAUGCGCAGAUAUCAGGAAGAACACCCGUGGCUAAGGCGGCUCUCUAGUACGGUACUGACGCUGAGACGCGAAAGCGUGGGGAGCAAACAGG
rnacentral:rRNA from 1 species